CCUACGGGUGGCAGCAGUGGGGAAUAUUGCACAAUGGGCGCAAGCCUGAUGCAGCCAUGCCGCGUGUAUGAAGAAGGCCUUCGGGUCGUAAAGUACUUUCAGCGGGGAGGAAGGUGUUGUGGUUAAUAACCGCAGCAAUUGACGUUACCCGCAGAAGAAGCACCGGCUAACUCCGUGCCAGCAGCCGCGGUGAUACGGAGGGUGCAAGCGUUAAUCGGAAUUACUGGGCGUAAAGCGCACGCAGGCGGUUGAUUAAGUUAGAUGUGAAAUCCCCGGGCUUAACCUGGGAAUGGCAUCUAAGACUGGUCAGCUAGAGUCUUGUAGAGGGGGGUAGAAUUCCAGGUGUAGCGGUGAAAUGCGUAGAGAUCUGGAGGAAUACCGGUGGCGAAGGCGGCCCCCUGGACAAAGACUGACGCUCAGGUGCGAAAGCGUGGGGAGCAAACAGGAUUAGAUACCCUCGUAGUC
rnacentral:rRNA from 1 species